ACGGAAGGCAGCAGUCGGGAAUAUUGCACAAUGGAGGAAACUCUGAUGCAGUGACGCCGCGUAUAGGAAGAAGGUCUUUGGAUUGUAAACUAUUGUCGACAGGGAAGAAAAAAAUGACAGUACCUGUGGAGGAAGCUCCGGCUAACUACGUGCCAGCAGCCGCGGUAAUACGUAGGGAGCAAGCGUUAUCCGGAUUUAUUGGGUGUAAAGGGUGCGUAGAUGGUUUUGUAAGUUAGUUGUGAAAUCCCUAGGCUUAACCUGGGAACUGCAGCUAAAACUGCAUAACUUGAGUAUGGGAGAGGAAAGCGGAAUUCCUAGUGUAGCGGUGAAAUGCGUAGAUAUUAGGAGGAACACCAGUGGCGAAGGCGGCUUUCUGGACCAAAACUGACAUUGAGGCACGAAAGUGUGGGGAGCAAACAGGAUUAGAUACCCUGGUA
rnacentral:rRNA from 1 species